UACAUGUGGGGCAAGCGUUGUUCGGAAUUACUGGGCAUAAAGGGUGCGUAGGUGCGUUGAUAAGUCAGUGGUGAAAUCGUCCGGCCCAACCGGACACGUGCCAAUGAUACUGUCGAGCUUGAGUGCGUGAGGGGUGGGGGGAACGAGCAGUGUAGCGGUGAAAUGCGUAGAUAUUGCUCGGAAGGCCAAAAGCCGGAAGGGACCCCCACUGGUACGCAACUGACGCUGAGGCACGAAAAGCGUGGGGGAGCAAACAGG
rnacentral:rRNA from 1 species